rnacentral:lncRNA from 1 species
UUCUCAAAGGUUACUUAGGUCUUUGGGGAUGGUUGUUUGAAUGACUAAGUACCUAGGGGAGUUGUUUGAUGCCAGAAUCAAGAUAAGGACCUUAAGUAAGAUCAUUGAGUGAUCGUGGUCCAACUGUCAAGCAAGAUCAAUUUGAGUCAAUGGAGGACUGAUGAGCUAAUAAGCUCCAUAGAUGUGGCAAAGGUAUGAUCUAGCAUUUUCUUAUGUAGAUCUAGAUAGAAUGGUUUAGGGGAAUGGAACCUCAGAAUCGUAUGGCUUGGUUUGGGUUUAGGAUUGACCUUUAAGCUAAUUGGAAGUUGAGUAAACUGACCAAGGCUAAGGUGAUUCGACCAGACAAGUGUUAGAUUGGUUUUAGACCAAUGGUUUACUAGAGAAUAAUCCGCUGCGUAUCUGUUUAAAGGAUCUAGGCUAUUAAUGACUAGGGAAGUCUU